GAUGAACGCUGGCGGCGUGCCUAAUACAUGCAAGUCGAGCGAACAGACGAGGAGCUUGCUUCUCUGAUGUUAGCGGCGGACGGGUGAGUAACACGUGGAUAACCUACCUAUAAGACUGGGAUAACUUCGGGAAACCGGAGCUAAUACCGGAUAAUAUAUUGAACCGCAUGGUUCAAUAGUGAAAGACGGUCUUGCUGUCACUUAUAGAUGGAUCCGCGCUGCAUUAGCUAGUUGGUAAGGUAACGGCUUACCAAGGCAACGAUGCAUAGCCGACCUGAGAGGGUGAUCGGCCACACUGGAACUGAGACACGGUCCAGACUCCUACGGGAGGCAGCAGUAGGGAAUCUUCCGCAAUGGGCGAAAGCCUGACGGAGCAACGCCGCGUGAGUGAUGAAGGUCUUCGGAUCGUAAAACUCUGUUAUUAGGGAAGAACAAAUGUGUAAGUAACUAUGCACGUCUUGACGGUACCUAAUCAGAAAGCCACGGCUAACUACGUG
rnacentral:rRNA from 1 species